rnacentral:lncRNA from 1 species
UCAAGAUGUAAAAGAAGUAGAAGACGAGGAGUUUAUAUUUCCCAAUCGUCGAUUGGUUAGGACUCAGCAGGACGCUCUUUUUCAGAUACGUAAUUAUAUAGCGUCUCCCGAUUUUUGUCAAGAAACACUCGAAGAACCGUAAGUUCUUUAAACUUUUAUCUCUCGUUUUCUGUCAAGAACACAAGAAAAUACUUCCAGAUACUCUCUACUAUCCUGAUUUCUUGUGAAUAAGGUGAUAUCUCUCUUUUCUCCUAUCUAAAACUCAUAAACAUCACUUGUGACUUGUGAUUUUUGUGAAUAAGUUGCUUUAUUGUUGUUUUGUAAGUUUAGUAAUUAGUAGUAGUUCUAUUUUGAUGGGUCGACUAUAGCCCCAAUUUAGUAGCCCUACUUCUAGGUGUACUUAUAACUUAUUUUUGAUUUCAGGUGGAUGAAUUGUUCCCAAUUGUGACAGUGGAUUCGAAGGGUACUUUUUCAAUUUUGAGUGUUCUAAUUUUGAUGUUAUAUUGAAAUUAGAGAUAGUGUGUGUUUGUUAGCAGAUGUAAAUGUAUUUUUUUCAAUUUAAUUCUGAUUUUUUAUUUUCCUCAUUCACAGGUCAUAAUGUCAUAUCAGCUACACAUGAGGCAACAAAGUGCACAUCUAGAACUUUGAAAACAAAUUGUCACAGUUUUGUUGGGCAUAAUAUUUUUCUGCAAAUUAAUUACCAAUGCAACUUAAGAUGUUUUAUGGUUAUCCAUUUUCAAAUCACUGUACUCCGAAAAUUGC